rnacentral:rRNA from 1 species
CCUACGGGUGGCAGCAGUGGGGAAUAUUGGACAAUGGGCGAAAGCCUGAUCCAGCAAUACCGCGUGUGUGAAGAAGGCCUUAGGGUUGUAAAGCACUUUCAAUAGGGAGGAAAAAGGUAAGCUUAAUACGUUUGCCCUUGACAUUACCUAUACAAGAAGCACCGGCUAACUCCGUGCCAGCAGCCGCGGUAAUACGGAGGGUGCAAGCGUUAAUCGGAAUUACUGGGCGUAAAGCGUGCGUAGGCGGCUUGUUAAGUCAGAUGUGAAAGCCCCGGGCUUAACCUGGGAACUGCAUUUGAAACUGGCAAGCUAGAGUUGAGUAGAGGGGAGUGGAAUUUCAGGUGUAGCGGUGAAAUGCGUAGAUAUCUGAAGGAACACCAGUGGCGAAGGCGACUCCCUGGACUCAAACUGACGCUGAGGCACGAAAGCGUGGGUAGCAAACAGGAUUAGAUACCCGAGUAGU